GAAUCUUGCGCAAUGGGGGAAACCCUGACGCAGCGACGCCGCGUGAGCGAUGAAGGCCCUCGGGUUGUAAAGCUCUGUGGGGAGGGAAGAAUAAGCCUGGGCUAAUACCUCCAGGUGAUGACGGUCCCUCCUUAGCAAGCACCGGCUAACUCUGUGCCAGCAGCCGCGGUAAGGCAGAGGGUGCAAACGUUGUUCGGAAUUACUGGGCGUAAAGCGCGUGUAGGCGGCUAUGCAAGUCGGGCGUGAAAGCCCACGGCUCAACCGUGGAAGUACACUCGAAACUGCGUAGCUGGAGUCCCGGAGAGGAAGGUGGAAUACUUGGUGUAGAGGUGAAGUUCGUAGAUAUCAAGUGGAACACCGGUGGCGAAGGCGGCCUUCUGGACGGUGACUGACGCUGAGACGCGAAAGCGUGGGGAGCAAACAGG
rnacentral:rRNA from 1 species